ACGCUCGACACCUACGGGGGGCAGCAGUUGGGAAUAUUGGACAAUGGAGGAAACUCUGAUCCAGUGACGCCGCGUGAAGGAAGGAGGUCUUCGGAUUGUAAACUUAUUUUGUCAGGGAAGAAAAAAUGACUGUACCUGAAGAAAAAGCACCGGCUAACUACGUGCCGCAGCCGCGGUAAUCUGAGCGGGCUGGCAAGGC
rnacentral:rRNA from 1 species